UACGUAGUCUUUCAGUUCUCACAUUGGUGAGCUAUAUCAUUAUUAGGGGGAGAAUAUGUUUUAUAGAAUCAGGUAGUGGUUAUUCAAAUGUGCUCGCUUUAAACCCAUUGGUGUUAUUAUAUACACAUCUACAGUUUGGACGAAAAUGGCCGAUUUGGCAGAUUCCCUGGUCAAAGAGGGCUGGUACCUCAGUGAAGAAGGCAUAGCAGAACUGAAAGGAUCUGCGGAGAAAAUAACACACAGUGACAUUAUUCGUAUUGCGCUAGACAGUGAUCUUAGGCCUAUUGGGAGAAAAUUUCUACCAUCUGAUAUCAAUAGCGGACGAACAGAGAAGUUGGAGGGUCCAUGUGUUCUCCAGGUGCAGAAGGUGAGGAACGUCUCAGCUCCGAAAGACCAUGAGGAGUCCCAGGGAGCGCCGCGAAUGCUGAGGCUACAAAUGACAGAUGGGCAUACCACCUGUGUUGGAUUGGAGUUUAAACACCUGUCUAAAAUCAGUAUUAAUACCCCUCCUGGAACAAAGGUGAAACUACUUGGUACAGUCCAGGUUAAAAAUGGUCUUUUGCUGCUUGAUGACUCAAAAAUCUUUGUCCUUGGAGGAGAGGUUGAUCACAUGGUGGAGAAAUGGGAACUGCAAAGGAGUCUGGCCAAACACAGUAGGAGUAACAUUGGAGCAGAAGGUGGACCUCCUCCCUUUGUGCCAUUUGGUCAGAAGUGUGCAAGGAGGGAUCAAGUAGACAGCAGAGAACUGGACCAGAGGAAGACCCUUCAGGCUCAUAAUGUGGUAAAAAGCACUGAUGAGAAUGAUGAGUUUGAAAAGCAGCGGACAGCAGCUAUUGCCGAAGUGGCCAAGACCAAAGAAGGUCCCCGAACGUUUGGCGGUGGAGGAAAUGCCGGCAGUAAUUUAUCCAGCACUGCUUCCUCCUCCCGGAGCCGAGACUCAUACCAGAAGAGACGAGAAGACAGGGUUGAAAGAACUGAAAGCAGACAAGAUGGAAACUAUAGAGAGCUGGUGGACGAACAUGCUCUGAGAGACAUCAUGGAGAUGGGCUUUAACAGAGAGGCUGCUCGACAGGCUUUAAUGGACAAUAACAACAACCUUGAAGUUGCAUUAAACAGCCUACUGACUGGAUUUUCUGGUAGCAGACCUGGCCCUGUGGUAGCUGAAUCUAACAAGCCCCAACCCAGAGCCAGAGGAAAGGGAAGAGGCAGGUCCAGAAAUGAAGAUGAUGAGGAGGGAGCAGGAGGGAGGCCCUCUGGACCAAGCACUCUGUUUGACUUUCUUGAAUCCAAGAUGGGAGUUUUCUCUAUUGAUGAGCCAAAGAGCCAGGCACCUCAGAGACAUCAUGAGAGUAAAGCAAAUUUCUCCAACUCAGACUAUUACUCCAAAGGCACACCUCAGACCAAGUUCUCCUCCUAUGAUGAGCAUAGGCAGCAAAGAAAUGACAGACCUCCUCGUUUCCACAGGGACACUGAUUUUCCCAAACCUGGCCAGGAGCUUCCGUCUAACUGUGCAACCACCCAAACAUCAGCGAAAUCCAUGCAGUGGAAGGGCCAGGAGAGAUGGUCACGAGGCACCUCAGACAGAUCUCUAAAUGACAGGAAAGAGAUGAGAGAAGAGCAGAUUUUACCUUCAUCCUUCACCACUACUUUCACACGUUCAAAAGAACCUCAGCAGCAGAUGGAGUUUAGUGGAUCGUACAAUCAACGAUCCAGAAAUGGAGAUGGUGGUGGGAAUAUGGCUGGACCAUCUCAUGGGAGAGGGGUAAAAGACAGUGCACCCGCGACUAAAUUGACAGCAGGCAGUGAAGAUGGAAGAGGAAAUAAUAAACGUACAGACAGAACUGAGGAGCGCAACAACAGCAGGAGGAUGGGGAAAACUGACCGGCCAAACUCAGACCACUUUGAGCGACAAAGGGAUAGUGGGCCACCAAACUUCAACUUGAGGGGUGGAGGCUCAGUGACCUCUCAAGAACCAGGGUUAUCAAGGGAUUGUCGAAUCAUGACAGGGGAUCCUUCUCAUUUUCAAAAUGGAGAUAUGGAACCCAAAAGAACCGGGCCAAUCAAGCCAGCAAUUUCAUCGUGUCCCCCAAAUAGGGAGCCACAUCCCAAGAAAAACAGUUCUAAUAACCCAGGACCCAAAAAAAGGUCAGGACAAAACAAAGGUCAAGGUCCUCGGGGGCCAGACAGAAGUCAUACUGUAGAGCACACUUGGAAACCUGGAGACCAGUGCCUGGCACUAUACUGGGAAGACGGCAAGUUCUACCAUGCCAGAGUAGAUGCUGUUCAUCCUUCAGGCUCCACGGCUGUGGUUGUUUUUAGUGACUAUGGAAACUGUGAAGAGGUCCUGCUGCAUAACAUUAAACCUGUUACUGCUGACAUGUUGGUCAAGAAAGCUGAGGAAAUUUGAAUUACAUCUAAUCUGAUUAGCAUUCGUAACAUCACAACCAUAUCAAAUGUGCAAUGGCAGGAGGAAGAUGAUGGUUACUAUGAUAGUUCACUCGAGUUUCGCCGCGGGGGAGAUGGACAGCCAAGACGCACAAGACCAACACAGCAGUACUACCAGCCGCCCAGGGCACGAGAUUGAUGUGACUGCAUUUUCAGUGUGCUUGUCCCUCAUCCUUCUCUGACAGAGUUUAUGUGACUCUGCAACAAUCCAGAGUGCUUCCUGAAGUGUCCACAUCGACAGGACAUACAGAACUUUUCAAAGGGCUUGGACACCAUGCAAAAAUGAAAGACAAACUGACACGAGCACCUGUUGAUUUUGUUAAGGACAUAUCUACUGUAUAUGUUGUGAAGAUUUGUUAAAUGUAUGCAUUAAAAUAAACAGCUAUUAUAGUGUA